rnacentral:rRNA from 2 species
AAAACUUUCAACAACGGAUCUCUUGGUUCCGGCAUCGAUGAAGAACGCAGCGAAAUGCGAUACGUAAUGUGAAUUGCAAAUUCAGUGAAUCAUCGAGUCUUUGAACGCACAUUGCGCCCCCUGGUAUUCCGGGGGGCAUGCCUGUCCGAGCGUCAUUGC